rnacentral:tRNA from 1 species
GUUAUUGUAGUUUAACAAAUUAAAGCCCAGCCCUGAAAAAUGCUAAGAUGGAAAUUAAAAUUUCCCAAAAACC